UCAAGCAGCUGCAACUUCAAACUUCCCCUGGCACGCAGCAAAAGAGCCUCACCCUCCCUCUCUAAUCAUCUCCCCUCCGGCCCCCCGGGGAAAGCCAGCCGCGCAGACCUCCAGCGCCAAGCCCCAGUCUGGUCCCCCCGCACUCAGCUCAAGUUCGCAUGUGUGACACUUGCAGGGCGAGAGUUGCCAGGAGAAAAGGAUCUUCGCCGAGGCGCCCGCGAUCACUUGCUCUAUUGUUGCGCCUUACGUUUCCAUUAGACAACAAUUGACAACAAUGUGGCGCCUGCUAUUGGCCAGGGGAGGAACGAGCCCUUUUGAUUGGCCACUAGCUUGUCUACAGUGUCCGCCCGAAGCUUCUCUCAAAUAAACUGGGCUUUAAGGAAACUAGGAGAGUCCUGCUAAGGGAGUUGCAUUGAAAAAAUAAUGACAAAUAGUUUCCAUUUAAGUGUGUGUGUGUGUGUUUGUUUGUGAAAUUUGUCUGAUUUCUCACUGCCUGGUAGUUUUUAAAUCCACUUAAAACAGUAGUUGCCUGACCAAUUGUGUGGUUUGCACUUCAGAUUUUCCACUGUGUCAUUUGUCAAAGGAGGGGUGGGGGCAAUAUAUCAUGCAAAGUGACAAUUCAAUUUAAGGUGCCCCCUUUCUCCCCGGCGAUUUUGUUGUAUAGUAGAACCUAACUUAUUUUUGUGUUUGUUUUUACUCAUUUUGCAACUGCAGGUGCAUUUUACCAGUACAGCUGCAAUAGGUGGUAUUUGAGAGGAAUGUAUCAAACUGUCAUCCCUCUGUUUGCCACUGAGCUACGUGAUGAAGGGUUUUCUAUAUACUGGCCGUGGGGAUGAUCUAGCGAGAAGUGCAAAGGGAGGACCGUGGUGCGCUGUUUAUUUUUCACAGCGUCUCUUUUGUACUUGACCAAGCACAAUAAA